UAAAAGGGCAAAUAGUGGAGGAGGGAAAAUGUAAGAAUGCAAAAUUUAAUGGAAAUAGAAAACAAAUGGGGGCAUAAAUGAAAAUAAAAUGAAACAUGAAAAAUAGGAGAGCAGCUGGAAGAAGAAAACAAGAGUUUAGGGUUACAAAGGAUGAAGGAAAGUGAAUUUGGAAUUAAAAAAAGGAACAAAGGGAAUUGAUGACAGGAAAAGAAAGGAACCAAUCACAAAAGACAGUAAUAACAUAUUGAUUAACUGGGUUUAAAUGUUAAAAAAUAAAAUAAGGCAGCACAAAAGAAAAUACAAAAGAAAAUAGAUAAGGAAAUGAAAGAUGUAUAAAAGGAAGAAACUAAAAAUAUCGGGGGAUUUAGGAAGUAAAAUGAUACGAACAAUCCCAAGAUAGCAAGAAAAAACUAAAGAUAUUGUUCCCUUUAUUUAGAUAACUGGUAGUAUUUUCAUACAGACUGUUUUCAGUUUUUCCUGUGCUAAAUUCUUUGGUUGUUUUCAUUCCUCACAGAUCAAAUUCCCUCUAAUUAAGAAGAUGAGUGAACUUAAGGACUGUCCACCACUUAAGUACUAUGACUUUAAACCCGUGGAGCAUGUAAAGGUCUGUCCGCGCUACACUGCAGUUUUGGGCCGAUCAGAGGACGAUGGCAUCGGCAUCGAAGAGCUGGACACGCUGCAGCUGGAGCUGGAGACACUGCUUUCCUCAGCCAGUCGACGUCUCAGGGCUCUGGAAGAACAGAGACAGAUUCUGACAGACUGGCAGGACAAAAAAGGUGACAAGCGCUUUCUAAAACCAGUCAAAGAGACGGUCGAUCCCGCGGCUUCCGCUCGCCCCUCCAAACCCAAGAAGCAGAAGCAGGAUGGGAAGGCGGGUCACGUGCCCGGUCCUGGUCCAGGCAGGCCCAAAUCUAAAAACCUGCAACCCAAAAUUCAGGAGUAUGAAUUCAGUGAAGACCCGCAGGACAUACCCCGCACCCCAAAGAACGACACACCUAACAGAUUCUGGGCCUCGGUGGAACCAUACUGUGCAGACAUAACCAAUGAAGAGAUCAGACUUCUCGAAGAGCUCCUUAAACCGCCUGAUGAUGAAGCGGAGUACUACAAGAUUCCUGCUUUGGGAAAGCACUACUCUCAGCGCUGGGCACAAGAAGACCUGCUGGAGGAGCAGAGAGAGGGAGCACGAGCCAAUGAUAAGAAAAAAAGCAUCCUGGGUCCAUUAUCUGAGAUAGAUGCCAAAGAUGUUGACACCCUGUUAAAGAAGUCUGAAUCUCAGCACGAGCCUCCAGAAGACGGAUGCCCGUUCGGCCCUCUCACACAGCGUCUGCUUCAAGCUCUGGUGGAGGAGAAUAUCAUAUCCCCUAUGGAGGAUUCCCCCAUUCCAGACAUGCCAGUGAAGGAUGAUGGGGCCGGGACGUCACCUCGCAGCCAGGGAAAAGCUUUCAGCGUUCCUCACACACGCUCUUUGGAGGCUCGGAUCAAGGAGGAGCUGAUAGCUCAGGGUCUGCUCGAUUCUGACGAGAGACAAGGCGCAGGGGGCGACUCGGAAGACGAGGUGCUUGCUGAACUGCAGAAGAGGCAGGCCGAGCUCAAAGCUCUGAGCUCUCACAACCUGAAACGAAAACAAGAGCUGCUCCGGUUAGCGCGGGACGAGAUGAGGAAACAGGACCUCCGUCAGCGCGUCCGAGUGGCCGACAACGAGGUGAUGGAGGCCUUCCGGCGCAUCAUGGCUGCCAGGCAAAAGAAACGCACCCCGACGAAGAAAGAGAAGGAUCAGGCAUGGAAAGCGCUGAAGGAGCGAGAGAGCAUUCUUAAACUGCUGGAUGGAUAAAAAGCUGUGAUUGGCGGUGUGAUGUGGUUCGUCCUGGGGACCAGAGUUUAAAAGAAACAGAGCUGCCAGUUCACUAGUGUCCAGACAACCAGCAGUACAAAACCGUGGCAGGGUCUAGACGGAUUACUGUAGUUUAUUAUUGCCUGAAUGUAAUGUAAAGAUAAUACGGAAGUUCUCUGCAUUUCCACCAGUUUAAAGCUGAACCAAGCGGAACACCUUGAACAGGAGAGCCAAAGCAUUACAGGGCAUCACUCAUUAACCCUUUAACAUCUAGGUGCAAUUUAAAGAAGACAGUUAGUAUUGGGGGCAUGUGCUUGGGUGGUGUAACGGUAAAUUUCACUAGCCUACUACCUAUGGGAUCCUCGGUGGUGCUAUGGCUGGUCGGGCGUCUACAUACAGACAUGAUCGGAUAUGUGUAAGGAUGGAUCGGUGUCUGGUCCAGGGUGUGUUACCGCAUUACCCAGUGAUUGCGGGGGAAUUGGACCCAUCCUGAAGCUGACCACGAUAUCCAGGUGAAUAUGAGUAAAUGAAUGUGUGAGUGUGAUGCCCUGCGAUGGAUGGGUGCCCUGUCCAGGGAGUAUUCUUGCCUUGUUUCUUGUUUCCGGUUUCAGGUGACGUCAACGCCAUUGUGACCUUGACCAGUAUAAAGUGAUAAUUGAAUAUUAAUGGAUAAAUAAAUGUGUGAAAGGAUGGAAACCAAAUAAUUACCUGUCUGCACUCUGAGCACUUUUUUAAGUGGGGAAGUGCUGGACAGGUUUAGAUUUGACACUGGCACCUUGGUACAGCCACGUAAAAGGGAUUUAUUUUUCACACUGAGCAGGACUGUGGAGAAUCAUGACUUAGCUUCAUUAUGAGAAGUGAAGUUGCCAUCAUAUACACAUACGGACACAUUUUGAAAUACUUGUUUCUUUCUCUUGAUUUUGUCCUGUUGAAGCUUCAUCGAACAACCCGGAGCAUAACUUUCACAUACAUUCUACUGUCAGACACCCAGUGAUUACAGAUCAAGCGAAGAAUGGGUGUCUGUUCUAUUUUCUGUGGUAUUUCAAUGUGAAAAGAAGAAGGGUGUGAAUAUAACAGUUUACAAAGAACACUAUUAAAAUUGCUGUCAGGUGAUAGUAGUUUAUUUCAUGCAUGAUGAACAUUGUUUCGUUUCGACUAGACAACAUGGACGAUUCAGUAUGUUUUGUUUUGUUUUUGGUACAUAAUAUCAUGAUUUUGUAAAUAAAGUGGUUUGGUUUUGGCCUUUUAUAAAUGA